rnacentral:pre_miRNA from 1 species
UCCUUUCUAGCUCACCUGUGACUGAGCUGAGAGUCACAGGUGAGCUAGAAAGUAU